UACGUAGGGUGCAAGCGUUGUCCGGAAUUAUUGGGCGUAAAGGGCUCGUAGGCGGUUUGUCGCGUCGGGAGUGAAAACUCAGGGCUUAACCCUGAGCGUGCUUCCGAUACGGGCAGACUAGAGGUAUGCAGGGGAGAACGGAAUUCCUGGUGUAGCGGUGGAAUGCGCAGAUAUCAGGAGGAACACCGGUGGCGAAGGCGGUUCUCUGGGCAUUACCUGACGCUGAGGAGCGAAAGCAUGGGGAGCGAACAGG
rnacentral:rRNA from 1 species